rnacentral:rRNA from 1 species
GACGAACGCUGGCGGCGUGCUUAACACAUGCAAGUCGAGCGGUAAGGCCCUUCGGGGUACACGAGCGGCGAACGGGUGAGUAACACGUGAGUAAUCUGCCCAUCACUUCGGGAUAACUCCGGGAAACCGGUGCUAAUACCGAAUAUGACCACUUCAGGCAUCUGAUGGUGGUGGAAAGUUCCGGCGGUGAUGGAUGAGCUCGCGGCCUAUCAGCUUGUUGGUGGGGUAGUGGCCUACCAAGGCUUCGACGGGUAGCCGGCCUGAGAGGGUGACCGGCCACCCUGGGACUGAGACACGGCCCAGACUCCUACGGGAGGCAGCAGUGGGGAAUAUUGGACAAUGGGCGAAAGCCUGAUCCAGCAACGCCGCGUGAGGGAUGACGGCCUUCGGGUUGUAAACCUCUUUCAGCAGGGACGAAGCGCAAGUGACGGUACCUGCAGAAGAAGCACCGGCCAACUACGUG